GCGGGAGGGCGAAAGGGCGGCGCGGCGACAUUGAAAUACGGUCUUUAACUACGCAAUCAUUACCCACGGAGGACGCGGAGCCGCUUCUGGCUUGCCGGUUCAAGUCCGGUCCCCGCACCA
rnacentral:tRNA from 1 species